AGACGCAAGAAGGAACUGGAAACGGCUCUACAACUUCAAAUACUCCUUCCUAGGAAAUCUUGCUACACUUCUGUCUAGUUUCCAGAACUUGCAAACCACGAAACGCCAUCACGGGAUCUGUGAUUGCCAUUACCAAGCUGGACAGGGAAAUCGGAGCGAGGUGGAGAACGGACACUGAUGAAGAACAACAUGAGCUAACUGACAGGUUUUCAACAAGCCUGAUACUGCAUAGCUGAGUCCAUCAUUAAGGCAGGUAAGAAGUUAAUUCAUCUCUCUUGACUAGACUUAAAGUCUACAGGUAUAUGCCCUGAAGCAAGGACCCAUAUUGUUCCUUAAAAGGUAGAGGGGGACCAUUAGUGUACCAAGGAUUACAGAUUCAAUUCAUGAGAGACCUUCAUUUGGUAUGUUUGGUUCUCCAGUGAAAGCAGAUAGAUUUAGAUGAAUUGCAGUAAUUUCAAAGACCGAUUUAUUUAUAAAAAGUCAAAGCAUACACAAAUCAAAUUGACAAUAAAAAAGGUUUGUUUUUGGGUCAUUGUCAAGUCAUGCUUUCAAACUGUUUCUGGGAAUAGGUAAAGAAGAUUGCUGU